GAUGAACGCUGGCGGCGUGCUUAACACAUGCAAGUCGAACGGAAAGGCUCCUGCUUGCAGGGGUACUCGAGUGGCGAACGGGUGAGUAACACGUGGGUGAUCUGCCCUGCACUUCGGGAUAAGCCUGGGAAACUGGGUCUAAUACCGGAUAGGACCACAUUUUGGAUGGUGUUGUGUAAAGUUUUUCGGUGUUGGAGGAGCUCGCGGCCUAUACGCUUGUUGGUGGGGUAAUGGCCUACCAAGGCGUCGACGGGUAGCCGGCCUGCGAGGGUGUACGGCCACAUUGGACUCGAGAUACGGCCCGGACUCGGACGGGAGGCAGAAGGGGGGAAUAUUGCACAAUGGGCGCAAGCCUGAGGCAGCGAGGCCGCGUGGGGGAUGACGGCUUUCGGGUGGUAAACACCUUUCGCUAGGGAAGAAGCGUUUUUGUGACGGUACCUGGAGAAGAAGCAACGGCUAACUACGUG
rnacentral:rRNA from 1 species